rnacentral:tRNA from 1 species
GGGAUAUAGCUCAGUUGGCAGAGUCCUUGCCUUACAUGCACGAGGCCCUGGGUUCUAAUCCCCAGCACCACCCA